GAUGAACGCUGGCGGCGUGCCUAAUACAUGCGAGUCGAGCGAAUGGAUUAAGAGCUUGCUCUUAUGAAGUUAGCGGCGGACGGGUGAGUAACACGUGGGUAACCUGCCCAUAAGACUGGGAUAACUACGGGAAACCGGGGCUAAUACCGGAUAACAUUUUGAACCGCAUGGUUCGAAAUUGAAAGGCGGCUUCGGCUGUCACUUAUGGAUGGACCCGCGUCGCAUUAGCUAGUUGGUGAGGUAACGGCUCACCAAGGCAACGAUGCGUAGCCGACCUGAGAGGGUGAUCGGCCACACUGGGACUGAGACACGGCCCAGACUCCUACGGGAGGCAGCAGUAGGGAAUCUUCCGCAAUGGACGAAAGUCUGACGGAGCAACGCCGCGUGAGUGAUGAAGGCUUUCGGGUCGUAAAACUCUGUUGUUAGGGAAGAACAAGUGCUAGUCGAAUAAGCUGGCACCUUGACGGUACCUAACCAGAAAGCCACGGCUAACUACGUGCCAGCCGCCGCGGUAA
rnacentral:rRNA from 1 species